CCUGACCCCAACUGCAGCCUCCAGAACCAGGAGACAGUGAAUGCCUGCCGCUGAAGCUACCCGGUCUUCAGCACUUUGUCACCACAGCCCCAGGAAUCUCACACAGAGGACCCUAUCCAGCUGCUGCCCCACCUCCGAGAGCCUCGCCCUGCUGGAAGAGCACUGCUUGUUUGGUCCAUCAGCCACUCUGCGAAGGACCCCUGAGCGUAACCCAGGGUCUGCACUGUAGGCCACCCUCGCUGGACAGGCCCAGGGCCCCGGGCCCCCACCUGCCCGUAGAAGGUGAGUCCUGGGUUGGCCUUCCAGGGGUCUAGGGAGGGAGUAGAAAUGGCCUGAAAGUCUCCGAGGGGCUGGAAGGCCCUGCACGUGGGGCCCAAAUUGGCAGAGGCUUAUGUGUCACGUGCAGGCUACGUGCAUAUGGCUCCCCUGGCACCACUUCCUGCCACGAGACGAAUCUGCCAAGGGCCCAGCCCUCUGUCACUCCACUACCUUCUCACUGACGUUGUCCACUGCAGGUCCUCAGACUUGACCAGAGAAUAUAGCCCAUCCAGGCCCUGAGGAUAUAUCCUCUCCCGCUCCCGGUCUGGUUUGAGACAUAGA